AAAACAUACAUUAAAGCAUUUUUUAAAAUUUGUAGAAUAAAAUUAAAUAGCAAAUCCAUUAUAAAGUAGAAACUGCAAUAGGAAAAAUAAUCUUACCAGUAGCAGAUUAUAUUUUGCCUACUGAUAUUUUGCAGGGAGGCAGUUACCUGUUGCAAAAGAAAGGGUACUUUCUUUUGCAAUACUGGAUACUACCAACAAAUUACAGGUCAUAUGUGAUUCCAUAGACAAAGAACACAAUUCCAGAUCUAGUGUUGUUUUGCAAACCUGUGUCACAAAUAAAGAUCUAAAAUAUGAAUCCUCGUGGAUUUUAAUGGUUUUUAAACAGUCCAAAAGUCAGCAAAAAUAACUGGUUGCUUCUGUUUUCAUUGAUAUUUUGUGUUCCUGUAGCUGGACAGUUCCUGGAAAAUUAUGUCCAAGUCUGAAUCUCUUCUAGAUGUGUGGAUUUCACCUCCCAAUGUUCCCCAGGUACUGUGGCCUCUGGUGAGAUUACUGGGAAUUAAAGACUAUAUGUGGAUGCCAUGGGAUUGGAGAAUGACACAUCAAAUUUUGGAUCCAGAUGCAAAAGGAGCUUUGGGCCCAAAUUAAUUCAGAGCUGCCAGAUAUGGAAGUGAGUAUGUUUCCUCAAUCAUGCCAUUCCACCAUGACUAACAAAAACAGUGAGGGUUUACAUGCACUAUGUAGUAAUUUGGGGAAAACUAAGGACAUAAUCUUAGAGACAAUUUUGCUAGACAUUAAAAUUCAAUAAAAUUAAAAGGAGACACAUCCAGUGACAGAUAAUGCUAAUGGAACACCCAAGCUGAUGAACAUGCUGCUAGUAGACCUGUUCCAAUACAAUAUGUAUUGUAGGAACUAUAGCAGCAGAGGAGUAGAUUAGGAUGUAUUUUUAUUUAUUUUUUAUAUUGCAGCACCACCACCACAUCCCAACCUAUAAUAUGGGUUCACAUUAUACAUGAAAAUUUUUCAUCAGGUUCAGUAUGAGGGAAAAACAUAAUGACCUCUGCUUUUACUCUGCUUCAUAGAAAAAAAGAUUCAUUCACCUUGCAUUAUAUCUAUACAGAAAGACAGGCUGUUCUUGACUUUCUCAUUCACACACAUCUAUAAGCAUCCAAGGUGACAAGUUGUAUAGACCCAACAGAUAAAUCAAUUGGUCUUGUACUUCAACGCUUUUUCUCAGAGAUAAAAAAAAAUCCAUUCCACCUUGGCAUCAGUAGUUACCAAAAUGGAUGUGGCUACACCUCAUGAGAUUGUCCUCUAGCUUGCAUGCUUUGACAAGUUAUUCUUAUUGGUGCCAUGAAAAUUAUUGGUGUCAUGAAAUCUUCUGGAAUGACUACAAGAUAAGCUGUGCGAAACUGUCUAUCUCAGAUGCUAAUAAAAAAAGAGCUUCCACUAUGUCAUAAGUGCCACAUUUUGAGAGACAGCACAUGCACAGUAGUGACACCCCUUGCAUGUUUCUGCAGCCUCUUUUUCCAGAAGAGCUCUGCUCUGUCCUUGAAUUGGCCAUAAAUGUGGACAAUUCUCUGUUAAAGCUCUUCACAUAGGUGGCUGCAACUGAAUUUCAUGAAAAGAAAUUGCAAACUUUAAAUAAGAAGUGAAUGUAGACAUAUUUCUCCUGAGCCCACCAUCAACUGCUUUGGACAGCCCUGCGUUUCAGAGGUUUUGAGGGAAAAAACUGGGAUGUAUUGCCAUAUGAGUUGUAGGUACACGCAGUACUCUUUUUAGACUACUUUCAGGAAAGUUAAUCAUCAUUGACCUGCAGGUUAUGCAACUCAGAGCUGCACUUUAAAAAAGGCAGCCGCACAUGUCUUUUAAAUAAAUAAAUACUUAAAUACGCACAUAAAGUUUCCCAUCAGAAGUUCCCAUUACUGAGGGAGAAGACAGAGCACCACAG